AUUGAACGCUGGCGGCAUGCCUUACACAUGCAAGUCGAACGGCAGCACGGGAGCAAUCCUGGUGGCGAGUGGCGAACGGGUGAGUAAUGUAUCGGAACGUACCUUUCAGUGGGGGAUAACGUAGCGAAAGUUACGCUAAUACCGCAUAUUCUGUGAGCAGGAAAGCAGGGGAUCGCAAGACCUUGCGCUGAUUGAGCGGCCGAUAUCAGAUUAGCUAGUUGGUGAGGUAAAGGCUCACCAAGGCGACGAUCUGUAGCGGGUCUGAGAGGAUGAUCCGCCACACUGGAACUGAGACACGGUCCAGACUCCUACGGGAGGCAGCAGUGGGGAAUUUUGGACAAUGGGCGCAAGCCUGAUCCAGCCAUGCCGCGUGAGUGAAGAAGGCCUCGGUUGUAAGUACUCUUCUAGUCCGGGAACGGAAAACGGAACGAACUAGGGUUAAG
rnacentral:rRNA from 1 species